CAGAAGCUCUCUGGUAAACUAGUUUUUUUCUCCCUUAUAGAAAUGAUUUGUGGAAUGGUUAUCUCAGAAAAGUUCACCAUUCUUAUGAUUUGUGUGUAUUCAGAUCCUGAGGAUCCUGAAUUAGACGAGAAAGGAAAAUGUUCAUUUUCUUUUUCCUUUCAUCUGUGUAUCCUCAAAAUUUGA